AUUGAGCUUAUGAAUUUUUGAAAAAAACUAGGAUUAGAUACCCUAUUAUAAAAGAACAAUAUUAAGAGUAAGAGGUAAAAAUAAAAUUUUAUGGCGGCAUUUAAACUAUUUAGAGGAAUUUGUUUUGUAAAGGACGCACCGCCAAAAUCUUUCUUAAAUUGGAAACGCAGCUUAUAUAUCGUUAUGAUUAAGUUAGAAACAAAUAAUCUUUAAAAUUUUUGUUGGGGGAAAGGAUAUUAGAUCAAGAUAUAGCUUAUAUUUAAGAAGACGAAUGAAUUACAUUAAUUAUUAUUUAACAAUAAGGAAUAGGAAGAAAUUUUUAAAGAAGGAUUUAAAAGUAAAAAAAAAAAAUAAUUUUUUUUUGAAAGGGGAAAUUAAAUGUGCACAUAUCGCCCGUCGCUUCCAGAGAUGGAAUAAGUCGUAACAAAGUAGAGGCACUGGAAAGUGCCUCUA
rnacentral:rRNA from 1 species